UAUUCAUUAAAAAAACUAUACUUACCUACUUAAAUAAAAUAACAUUUAAUAAGUUUAACUAUGUUAAUGCAAUACAAUUAAAAUAUAUAUAAUAGAAGUCUAGGUCUUAAGAGAAAUAUUGCUAAAAAUGAUUAACAUAUUAAAAAUGAUCUUGGGGUCACUGAUUUUAUUUGCAAACUUUUUUUUUUUGUUUUAGGCAACAUUAUGAACAUAAUAGAUCU